AAUGAGGACUAUCACAGGCAAAUCGGUCAGGGAAUGUUCCAACAGAUGACGGAACAGGUCUGCGAACAAUGUAACAAUGUUAAAUAUGAAAGGGAGGGAUAUUUCAUCACUGUUGAUAUUGAGAAAGGGAUGCAAGAUGGACAAGAGGUGGUUUUCUAUGAGGAUGAUGAACCCAUAAUUGAUGGAGAACCUGGAGAUUUAAAA